rnacentral:rRNA from 1 species
AAUCAACGCUGGCGGCGCGCUUAACACAUGCAAGUCGAACGAGAAAGGGAGCAAUCCUGAGUAAAGUGGCGUACUGGUGAGUAACACGUGGAUAUCUACCUCUUGGUGGGGGAUAACCUGGGGAAACCUGGGCUAAUACCGCAUAAGUUCGUGAGAAGAAAGGCGUAAGUCGCCGAGAGAGGAGUCCGCGGUCGAUUAGGUAGUUGGCGGGGUAAAAGCCCACCAAGCCGAAGAUCGAUAGCCGGCCUGAGAGGGCACACGGCCACACUGGCACUGAAACACGGGCCAGACUCCUACGGGAGGCAGCAGUGGGGAAUCUUGCACAAUGGGGGAAACCCUGAUGCAGCGACGCCGCGUGAGCGAUGAAGCCCUUCGGGGUGUAAAGCUCUUUCGGCAGGAACGAUAAUGACGGUACCUGCAGAAGAAGCUGCGGCUAACUACGUGCCAGCCGCCGCCGUAACAC